AACUGUUAACAACCUGAUUUGUUGGCUUGAUCCAAUUGUGGGUGAAUUUUUUUUUCAUUUCCACUAUUAUUUUUAAUUAUGUGUAUAAUACAUAUAGCUACGUUUCACUUAAAGCCUUGUUGAAAUCACAUCGCCAGCUGUGCUUCUGAUCUACCAGCUAAGUAACCUCAUCAAAAGGGAAAACCAAACUAGUUUGGUGUGAGAUGCUUUUAGUGAACUUGGGUUGGUGCCUUGUGCUCACCACUUCCCUGUUUAAUGAUGUGUUCUAGGAUUCUGCUGGGGACACGCAUCAAUCAACACUGUCUUUGAAAUACAGUUUUAUACUGGUGUUGCAGUUAGGAUCAUAGGCUUUGAAGUUGGACAGAUUUAGGUCCAAAUUCUUGCUCUACCUCUUACUGCCUCUGGGCCGUUACUAAACUCUUUGAGCCUCGGUAUUCUCAUCUGUAAACUAGGCAUUUUUUUCAUACAGUUGUUGUGAGGAUAAAACAAGAUAAUGAACUGAAGCGCACAUAGUUAGUGGAGGAUAAAGAUGGCCAUCAUCAUAUUCUCCACCUUCUCUCCAUCAUCAUCAUCAUGAUCACCACCUCAAGCAUAAUCAACGCGGGCCAAAAGCACACAAAGGAGCCAAGACUUUGACCAGAGUUAGCCAACUGUCAACAAGGAUUUUGGGGCAAGCCCUAAGGUGUUGUUAAGGAGAGACAGCACAGGCAGAUUCUGAAAAUGUGAUACACUGAGACAGAAUUUUUAGUAGGCACUUGCUUCUGGAAAAGUUCUUAGCAAAGGAGAAAGGGAAAUUACUGCCCAUGAGCGCUGAACACACACCAAACGCCCCCCACACCACUGCCAGCCAGGGAGAGGGCCCUGAGAAGCACAGAAGCUUCCAUUCUAAUUACUACCAAGCGGCUUUUAUAAUUUCACUUUGCACCAGUUAUCUUAGAAACAACCCAAGAGGAAAAAUCCAGUUUCUGGCCCAAAGCACACCAAUUGCUUCCCUUGCUGAGUCCACUGGGCUGACAGCCCUGUUGAGCACUGCAACAGUCCAGAUGGAAUACAGUAGAGCCAAACAUGCCCAUUGCCGUCAAGUAGAUUUCAACUCAAAGCAACCCUAUAGGACAGAGUAGAACUGCCCCAUAGGGUUUCCAAGGCUAUAAUCUUUAUGGAAGUAGACUGUCACAUCUUUCUCCCAGGGAGCAGCUGAUAGGUUCAAACUAUCAACCUUUCAGUUAGCAGCUGAGCGCUAACUGUGCCACCGGGACUCCUUAAAGCCAGACUACCUGGAUGCAAAUUGGAUCCCACUAUUUUCUAGCUCUGUAACAUUUGGGCAAGUUCCUUAGCCUCUCUGUGCCCCAUUUUCCUCACCUAUGAUAAUAACAAAAAUAGUACGUACCUCUCAGAGGCAUAAUACAUAUAAAGUACUGUGGAACAGAGUCCAGCACAUAGCACAUCCUCAAUAAACAGGAGCAGCGAUUGGCAUUAUUCUAGGUACGGACUCCAACAGCCAUGUUCACAAUGUCAGAAGCAACAUCCCUGGGACCUGGGCUCCUUGGAGGCUCUGUUCCAGCCUCCCUUCUCUUCCAAGGGCAGACCUCCUCUCUUAGGAGAGACGUGAGCCAACAGUCUAGGCAGAGCACAGAGCAGAGAAGGAACAGAGACACCAGGGGAACUCCAGGACCACAGCACGAGGAAGCCACUGGCCACAGAGGAAGUCAUGCUUGUUGGGGAGCAGAGAGAGAGGCCCAGGGGUAGGCAGCGUGACUGGUUCCCCUGCCACAGCCGGCGGCAUCUCCACCCCAUGCCCAGGCUCUGAGCAGAUCCACCCUCAGACCAUCCCCACUGAUGGUAAGUGACUUGGGCUUCUCAUCUAUAGAAACAGCUAUCAAGCUAGGGGGUAGUGCACCUGAAGGUGUUACAGGUCUUUCUGGGAAGAAGGUGGGAGGAAGGGUUGACGAAGCUCCUGUUGGAGAACGCAGGCUUCCGGUCCAUCUGCAACCCUGUGAGGCCGCAUCUCUGCCUAGAGAACAAUCUGGUUCCCCACUGCUUACUCCUUUCCCCAUUCUGUCCCUCAGGGCCCUGCACCUGCACACUCCUUCCCAAAACACAGCCUUUAAAGGGGCCCUCACUCCACACAUGCUUGGGAGAACAAAGAAAAAAGGAAGUUUCAAAAAGUUUGUGUUUGGUUUGGUGGGGCAGGGGAGGAGAGGGAGAAAGCCUUGAGAAGCUGGCUAGAGUGGUCUUGGUCCACAUGUCCUUUGUUAAGUCCUUCUCACAGAAGCCAAGCAAAGAGAUGGAAAACUGAAGACAGUGUGGAAGAGCUUCCCAUUGAUGCCACAGAAGUGAAGGCUUAGAGAGAUUGAGCAACAUCUCUGUGAUCAUGUGACUACAAAGCAGCAGUGCCAGGCCUCCUGGAUCCCGGUUGGACACUCUUAUCACCACAUCACAGACUGUCUCCAGCCCCGAUUUGCAUACCCUGGUCCUGCAAGCCUGGGAGAGAGGCCCCUCCUAAGUGCCCACCCUGGGCUUACUCAGAAUCUAGUAGUCACUACACAGGACUGUAGUUCCCUGUACCCCACGUCACACUGGGUGUUCCCUGAAGGUAGAGACUGGGUGACUGGGGUUUUUCUCACUGCUAUUUCCCAGAACCUGGCACAUGCUCAAUUAGUGGGUAUCUAACAAACAAUUAAAGUGAAUGUGUGACUGAAUAAAUAAAUGUUUGAACAAUGAACAGAGACUGCUCUGAGCAGCCAGAGCUGUACAGCCUAACCCACAGUACCUUGCCUUCCCUUUCACCUCAUAACACCUGACUGUCCAACCCUGGUCUCCGAAUGCCUGGGGGUGCUGAGUCUUACCUGGAGCAAUCCUGACCUGAGAAGGAACUAUGGAUGUCAAAGCAGCUUCACAACAAUCGUCAAAUAUCCCACAGGCAGUCAAAUGUUUGGUGAGACCACCUACCAGUUCUCAUUAAGGGUGGUAACAAGUGGACCCUGCACACCUGCUCUUACGCAGACAGGUCACACAACCAACCCCCAGACUCAGUGUGUGAGGCUGGGCCCUGGAUGCCAUGGAGGUCACAGCGGCAGGCACUUCCCCCUGGACUAAGUCUUGAUGGGAAAAGGUGGGAUGGGGACAUGGCCAGUGUUGCCAGCCUUGGGCAGAGGCAGCCAGAUAGAACUACCUCCAAACAGAGCAUUUCUCCAUCCAUACAGAGAUGGAGAGGAGCCCCAAGAGCAGCUGGGAACAAGGAACCCAGAAGCAACAGUGUCUCUAUGAGGCUCCUCAUGACCCAAGAAGAUUCUGUAGAUACAAGCAAUGGUCAAACCAGGAGAUGUCCUCACUGACUGCAAACACACACUGCAGAGAGACCCAGUGGGUAGGGAGGAAUACCUGAAGACUUCCAGAUGUGGAAAUGAGCUUGGGCAUAGAAGGCUAUUUCCUCAGGCACAUGCUGCCUCAUGUCUCAUUCCUGUACAAGACUUUUAGCAUCACUCUCAAGACUAGGGACAGAGUUGGUGUAAUGGAGCUGGGACUGAGAAAACAUGGCACAAUCCAAGUGAAGGAAACUGCAGAAUUGGAAGUGGAAGGGACGGCCAGGUGGAGCAGAGAACUGGUCAGUGUCACAGAAGACAGGAAAAUGAGCGGAGACCAAGGGGAUGAGAACACAGGGGCAGCAUCACUGAGAGAUAAGCUGCUGGCUGUGGGUAGCUCAAAGGCAUGCUGAGGUGUCCCGGCCUUGAGCCCGGCAGCCAGUUGGGGCAUGAAGCGUGGGCAGAGAAGGGAAGUGGACUGAUUUCUUCAAAGCGACACUAACUUGAGAAACAUGUAAGACUCCAGGACGA